rnacentral:rRNA from 1 species
GACGUAGGGCGCAAGCGUUGUCCGGAUUUAUUGGGCGUAAAGGGCGCGUAGGCGGCCGAUCAAGUCAGGCGUGAAAUUCCCGGGCUCAACCUGGGGGGCUGCGCUUGAGACUGGUUGCUAGAGGCCGAGAGAGGGUGGUGGAAUUCCCAGUGUAGAGGUGAAAUUCGUAGAUAUUGGGAAGAACACCGGUGGCGAAGGCGGCCACCUGGCUCGGUACUGACGCUGAGGCGCGACAGCGUGGGGAGCAAACAGG